rnacentral:misc_RNA from 1 species
ACAUGCUGCAGAAACUUAAGAUUGUCAAGAUAGUCAGUGUCAUACAUUUAUGCAAGUGCAACUCAAAGACAAUUAGAUGCAAAUGCUGACUUGCACAAGUCAUCUAACAAAUUCUUCUAUUAUUAAAAAGUGGGAAGGAAAUUUUGCAAAUCUCAAAUUAAGAUCAAAAUUAUGAUAUGCAUCCUUCAAAUGAUGUCUCAGUAGUAGAAUGAGUGAAACAUUCUCUUGAACAUCCAUGAAUUUCUAAAGUCUAAUGUGAUACACAAAGAGUAAGAAACUAAAAUGCAACCUCCAUUUGACUUUGAUUUAAACAAAGGACACUGAAAAGUUGCAGGCCCUAAUCUUAGGGCUCAUAUGGAAUAGCUAGGACAAAAUGCAAAGCAAUUAAAAAAAUGAAUCUCAAUACCUUCCCAUAAGUUCCCAUUGUCCCCUUUCAAAAACACACAAAUAUUUUUUUUUCAAUUUUGUUAAAGGUGAAUUUCUUGUAAUGUGAUUUCUAGUGAAGAAACAUUUCAUAGUUGAUCUCACACAAUAUUAAUCAAAAAGAAAGCACAAAUCUAGAUCUAAA